UACGGAGGGUGCAAGCGUUAUCCGGAUUCACUGGGUUUAAAGGGUGCGUAGGUGGGUCUGUAAGUCAGUGGUGAAAUCUCCGGGCUUAACCCCGGAAACUGCCAUUGAUACUAUAGGUCUUGAAUUAUCUGGAGGUGAGCGGAAUAUGUCAUGUAGCGGUGAAAUGCUUAGAUAUGACAUAGAACACCAAUUGCGAAGGCAGCUCACUACGGAUAUAUUGACACUGAGGCACGAAAGCGUGGGGAUCAAACAGG
rnacentral:rRNA from 1 species